AUCGCUUCUCGGCCUUUUGGCUAAGAUCAAGCGUAGAAAUAGUGCUACUGUUAACAUUAUUGUACAUAUGUUUUGGUGAACAUCUAUGUGCAUUUCCGUUGUAUAUAUAAUAGCUGAAGUAUUUUAAAGCAAACUUCCAGAUAUUGUCAUUU
rnacentral:snRNA from 1 species